AACUUGAUAUAUUUCCUUUUGAAAAAUCGAAACAUUGGCAAUGCUUUUACUAGGCGCUUUAUUCUCCCUUUCUCACAAUCUGUUAUCCAGAAAAAGGUCUUGACUACAACUCUUGCAGGUAAGCAUUGCCAAAUCCCAUCUGAUGACCUUUGUCUUUGGUGCAAGACUGAAAGAAUUUAUUUCAUGUGUAAUAGACACUUGAGGCUAGUUAAUUAAAAGCUUAUAUUUGCAGCAGGGCAGGCCUCCCUCGCUAAGGACUGUCACCCCUACAGCCACUGAUGAUUUGACACCCCCUACUGUAGGGGUUGGCCUUUGGGAAGCUAUGGCAAUUGUAGUAAGGGACUCCAGGUUUGGAGCAAGGCACCACAUCCCCCUUGAGAGCCUCAUAGCUUAUGUACUUCUUCUCGGUGACAGCCCAUAGCAGCCUCCUGUUCUCCUCUGAGUUCAUCUCCAACACCACCCCAUCCUCCAGCAAGCAUCUUCCAACUUUUCUACUGCAAGGCAGCUUCGCCACCACCUCCACAGCAGUGCUCUUCUCCAGGAGGAGGAGAACAAGGAGAAGUGACACCAACAUGGGCGGAGUCUUCCUCGGAGUGAAGCCUGAGCUGAGCUUUGCCAUGACUUCUUCUUGCUCGUUUGUGACCUGCCUUCUCUUUGUUUCUGUGGGUGAGAGGCUUUAAUGAGAUGUCAGCUCUUCCACCUACUUUGGCUUCGCGGUCCGGGAGGAGCAGCAGCAACCAAGUCGUUGACUUCACACUGCUUUUAUGGGUGCGCGGACAAAUGGAUAGUGGAAUAUGGACUUUAUUAUUAGUAUAACUCAUGGUACAUUAUAAGAUUAUCAUUUUAUACGUGGAUUAUCUAAUUCACUUACUAAUUUGA